GCCCGGCUGGCACAAUCGGUAGCGCGUGAGACUCUUAAUCUCAAGGUUGAGGGUUCGAGCCCCUCGUCGGGCU